UCAGAUAGUUGAGGAAAAACAGUCUCUGGGCUGAGGCUUCAACUGAUAAAAACGUAAAAUAUACUGAAGAUUCCGAGUAACUGAACUAAUAGGUCCUCUCAAAGCUCUAAAAAAGAUCAGAUUUUUCUGCUCAUCGCUCAUUCUGAUCUUUUUUGCUCGGCUGUGCGCAUGCGAUUUCGCUCAAAAUCAGAUUUUCUUGCUCAACAAAAAAAUCGAGUUUUGGGUUGAUUUUCUCUCUCAUAAUCCUGCUCAUUCUGCUCCACAUCAGCACAUCAGCUGUUUGUUUACUUAAAUUUUUCAUUUAAAAAUUAAGCAAAGUUUUCUAAAACAUAUUCUUUAUCAUUAUGGGUCCCAAGACCAAGGUUUAGAGUACCAGUGUCGAAAAAGUUGCAAAUCCUGUAAUUUGUCGUAAAAAACGUAGCGUUGCAGAGAUAGACGGCAAAGACUUUUCGCUGGACACCACAUAUAAAAAUUGAAAUGGCACAGUAUGUGGUCGACAAUUAUACCGCGUUUAAGCUCGACCGGCAGUACGAACUAGAUUUGAAAAGGUUCGAGAUGGACAAAGAGCUGCGACUAAAAGAACUGGAAUGCGCAAACAAAAAUCUAGAGAAAGGACGAGAAAAUUCAGCGAAGCUUAGCGAAGCCGAAAACAAAAUACUGGAACUCAAAAUUCAAUUGGAAAUUCUUAAAUCUAAGUCCUGAAUAUGAGAUUUAUAAAACUGUUUAUUGCUGCUGCAUAAAAUGAAUUAUUUGAGAUAA